rnacentral:rRNA from 1 species
AGAACGAACGCUGGCGGCAUGCCUAACACAUGCAAGUCGAACGAGACCUUCGGGUCUAGUGGCGCACGGGUGCGUAACGCGUGGGAAUCUACCCUUGGGUUCGGAAUAACAGUUGGAAACGACUGCUAAUACCGGAUGAUGUCGCAAGACCACAGAUUUAUCGCCCAAGGAUGAGCCCGCGUAGGAUUAGCUAGUUGGUGAGGUAAAGGCUCACCAAGGCGACGAUCCUUAGCUGGUCUGAGAGGAUGAUCAGCCACACUGGGACUGAGACACGGCCCAGACUCCUACGGGAGGCAGCAGUGGGGAAUAUUGGACAAUGGGCGAAAGCCUGAUCCAGCAAUGCGCGUGAGUGAUGAAGGCCUUAGGGUUGUAAAGCUCUUUUACCCGGGAUGAUAAUGACAGUACCGGAGAAUAAGCUCCGGCUAACUCCGCGCCAGCAGCCGC